UGGUAAAGAAACCCCGGACUAACUCCGUGCCAGCAGCCGCGGUAAUACGGAGGGGUUAGCGUUGUUCGGAAUUACUGGGCGUAAAGCGCGCGUAGGCGGACUGGAAAGUUGGGGGUGGAAAUACCCGGGGCUCAACCCCGGAACUGCCUCCAAAACUACCCAGUCUUGAGUUCGAGAGAGGUGAGUGGAAUUCCGAGUGUAGAGGUGAAAUUCGUAGAUAUUCGGAGGAACACCAGUGGCGAAGGCGGCUCACUGGCUCGAUACUGACGCUGAGGUGCGAAAGUGUGGGGAGCAAACAGGAUUAGAUACCCUGGUAG
rnacentral:rRNA from 1 species